rnacentral:lncRNA from 1 species
CUCCGUGGGCGUAGGACCCUCCAAGCCAGGUGCGAUAUAAUGUCGUGGUGCGCCGUUUUUUAAGCUGGUUGGAAAAGCGCAGUAUUCGCGUGGGAGUGACCCGAUUUUCCAGUGAGAUGAACCCGGUACCUCAGAUUGAAAUGCAGAAAUCACCCGUCUUCUGCGUCGCUCACGCUGGGAGCUGUAGACCGGAGCUGUUCCUAUUCGGCCAUCUUGGCUCCUCCCUCAGUUCUGGAGACUGGGACAUCCAAGGUCAAUGUGCUGGCAGAUUCAAUGUCUGGAGUGAAAUACAUCACCGCUUUCCCUGCUCCCGCCGCCAUUAAAAUUGUGUUUGGCAUCUGACCACCAAGAUACAGAUAUUUCCUAGACUGUUUUGCAGCUAGGUACUUAGAUAGUAAUGAAGAUAGGGGCCACCAUUCCCUGUGAAAAUCAAGUGGGAAAGUCCUGAGUCCUUUAAUGACUUUACAGAGGACAGAAUAAACUCCUAUCAUAUUCAUGC